GAGGGGUGGAAUAUACAAAGGCCCCGUUAAUGCUGCACGUUAUUCAUUCACAAUCUAGAGAAUCAAGGAAGAAGUCCAUUAAACAAAGAUGCACGCACAGACACACAAUCUUAAUAAAUUCACCUUCAUUUUAUUUUGACACCUUUUAUUUGGCAGCGAAUAAAACAAUUUCAUAAAAACGGUCAGUGAACCUGGCCCCAGGAAAGCGGUCAUGUGACUAAUCACACGAUGAUUGUUACAAUAACAUGAAAAUGCGACACGCGUUUAAGAUUAUAAAAAUAAAACGGGAAGCUUUCUGUGCAUCGUGUCUUCCGGUCUGAGCCAAGUGUGACGUCACCGAGGAGGAAACCACUUCAUGGUCUGCUCUUCAAUCAAACGUCUUCAGAGGUUUAUUUACGCUAAAUAAACGUCUUCUGUCCGGACACGUGAUUCAUGAUGAACUUUAACGGAGCAGCGGCGCCCCCGCGAGGCAGAACCACCGCACUACGUGACGUCACGGGUUCAUCACAGGGCGAGCCAGACGAUGUGAUGACCUUUGACCUGUUCCUCUUCAUGUCAGAACCCACACUGGAGCGGCUGGUUCCUCCCUCACCGAGGUCACGACUCUUUGCUCUCUGAUGACAUCAGGACCACAGAGAGCCUUCACAUCUUCACACUAAACAGGUGGAGAACAUCUGGGGAUGAAGUUUAAUUAAACUGAUGAAUGCAACUAAAUAAAAGUUCAAAUGUUUUUAUCCAUUUAAUCCGGUUUCCAAAGUUACAUUUUCCCCCAAAUAGAAACACUGUGGUUUGAUGUCGUGUCGUUAGAGGCUGAAGAUUCUUUUAUUUAAUGUUGUUGUUUAAAACAAAACUAGUGAAAGAAAAUGAGUCAAAACUUCUGAAAGGUUUUCAACCUCCAAUAGACAUUCCUACAAAAUCAU